UUGCUGUGGAAAAUGUCUUAAUUUAUGGUUUAAGAAGGAUCUGAUUAAUAUCUGACUAGUUGCACAUUUUACAUACCUUGUUUUCUAUGGUAUUUUAGAGUCUAAAGAAGGUCAACUUGGUUGCUGCUCUGGUUCGUGGUACCUGCUUGUUAAAGAUGCAUCGAUGCAGUUGGAAUUGACAAUAAAACGAGCAGCAAAAACUGUAUAUCAGGGAAUUCUGAUCUCAAAUUGUCCUCGGCUAUGCAGCGAAAUUCUUGACAAGUUGAACCACCCUUUUCUACCUGCAUUAUCUAUAUGCUUCCUUCCAGACCAAAACUCACGUUUGGUUUGAUUACUAAUUAUUGUCCUAGAGGAGAACUAUUCCUGCUUCUUGAUCGGCAACCAACUAAGGUUCUCAAGGAAGAUGCCGUGAGGGUUGAGGAUGUUACAAGAGUUUGGGAUCCUUGCUGACCAGUGACCAGGGUUGAGGAUGUUACCAAGAGUCGAAUACCGUUGCUGCUAGAAUGUCAAGGUAAAGAGAAACGUUAUUAAUUAGUAUCCUUUUAAGGUAAAAAAAAAGGAAGAUUUUACGUUUAAGCGGAGCUUCACAAAGGUACGUAGCCUUUAUGAUUUAACUGUUUGUUGGGUUGACUUGGUUUUCUUCAGUUUUGUAGAAGGUACUAAGAUGUAGGCAUGCUAGAUCCUUAUUACUUGACUGUUGACUGUCCAAGCAUUCUGGUAAUACUGUAAGCCAUACUCAUUUCAAGCUUUUUGGUAAUACUCAUUUCAUAACGGCACUUAAAAUUUUUUCAGUUGGAUGGAAAGGCUACUUGUGUUUUACUUAUUUCAUAUGGCUUAUACUCAUUUCAUAUGAAAUUAACAAAUAUCUAGAAAUUUUGUUAAUGAAAGUCCGAUGACAUUUUAAAUCCAAUGUACAUCAUUCCACAGGAGACAAAGCUAUUGAUAUAAGGAGUAAGCACUACACAUUGUGCUAUGAGGAGCACUUCAUGGAACAAGAGAGAAUUGCAAUAAAAUUCCAUUCUUAGCAUGCAAGUCACUUUUCUGAUCCAUUCUAUGUUAGUAUCACAUCACAACGUAGUCUGUAAUACAGAUGAAUAGGAAAGCAGAUGAGGACACCACAUCUAUAAAUUGAAGUUCUUGCAGAGUUAUAUGCAAACCAAUGAGGUUGUGAGGGCCAUUGUUAUAUGAAAGUUGAGAAUUUGUGCAGGCUUUCAAGUAGAGGUUUUUUCUUGAUCAUUGGGGAUAGAUAACAAUAAGUAGAUAUGAAGUUCAUGAAACUUGGAACAAGGCCAAAUACUUUCUACAGUGAAUAAGCUACCAGAUGAUAUGGAGGAGAGAGAGCCGCUAAAAUUCCCGACAAAAUAUAACAUUCAAAUGGGCAUGAGGUGGCUGAUUCAGGGUAGCCAGUCAGGGGAUUCAUUGGUGUUAAUUUAAGUAUCAUUAUAUUCAUUUUUAGAUUUUUAGAUUCUUAACAGGGAGUAUAGAUGUUUUGUGUUUUACAUUUUUAGUACAAUUAAUGUGUAAGGCUUUGUUUGUUAUUGUUCUUGUUGUUGUUUGUCGUGAGUGAUCCGUGUUUGGUAGAUUGAUGAAUUUCAGUUGCCUGCUGAUCUGUGUAGUUAAUGUCAUCCGGUAAGAUAAAUAAAAGUUGUGUUGUUGUGUGUGGUAGAGUAAUUGGUGUAAGUGAUUUUUGUGGUGAAAGUUUUGUAGCUCUGGCUAGUGUACAUACUUUUUGUUUUAGUUUCUGAAUUUUGAAGUGUGACCAGGUGGUUUAAGUGCAACUUGUGUAAGUGAUGUUUUGGGGCAAGUGUUCCUGAAUUCUAAACGCUAGUUUAGUAUUGAGUUUGAGGAAUGAAUACUGGUUUAAGUGCAUGUUUUAUGUCUCACCUUGUGCCUGUUUUAUUUCUCACCUUGUGCCUGUUUUAAACCAUUUAUUGACUACUUAUUUUGUU